GGCUCCUGACUUCCGAAACUUGAAUUGUAUGCCUCUGUUCUUCAGGUGGGCUCCUGACUUCAAAAGACAAAAUGUCUAUUGAAAACUAAAAUUUGAAUUAUAUCACCUCUGUUCUUCAGGCGGGCUCCUGAUUGCUGAAUUUGAAAUUGAAUGUAUUCCUCUAUUAUCCAGGCGGGCUCCUGACUUCACAAAAAUAGACAAAACAAAGAAAACUUUCUGCCCCAGUUUGGAAAACUGGUUGUUUGUUACCACAUACUAAUAAGAACUAAAACUUGAAUUGUGAUAAGACUGAAAUGCAACUUUUAAAAAGUCAAAGACUGCAAUGUAUCUUAAAAUUUAAACUUUAUCUUAGGUGAAAAAUUCAUCAGACUAAGAUUUCCAUCUUAGGAGAAAGAUUCAACAGACUAAGAUUUUUACCUCUAUCUUAGGUGAAAAAUUCAUCAGACUAAGAUUUUCAUCUUAGGAGAAAGAUUCAACAGACUAAGAUUUAUCUAUAUCUUAGGUGAAAAAUUCAUCAGACUAAGAUUUCCAUCUUAGGUGAAAGAUUCGACUAACUAAGAUUUAUCUUUAUUUUAGGUGAAAAUUUCAUCAGACUAAGAUUUCCAUCUUAGGAGAAAGAUUCAACAGACUAAGAUUUUUGUCUUUAUCUUAGGUGAAAAAUUCAUCGGACUAAG
rnacentral:lncRNA from 1 species